GAUGAACGCUGGCGGCGUGCCUAAUACAUGCAAGUCGAGCGAACAGACGAGGAGCUUGCUCCUCUGACGUUAGCGGCGGACGGGUGAGUAACACGUGGAUACCCUACCUAUAAGACUGGGAUAACUUCGGGAAACCGGAGCUAAUACCGGAUAAUAUAUUGAACCGCAUGGUUCAAUAGUGAAAGACGGUUUUGCUGUCACUUCUCGAUGGUUCUGGGCUGCAUUAGCUAGUUGGUAAGGUAACGGGUUACCAAGGCAACGAGGCGUAUCCGACGUGAGAGGGUGGUCGGCCACAUGAGAGCGGAGACACCGUCCAGACUCCUACGGUAGGGAGCAGUAGGGAAUCUGCGGCAAUGGGCGAAAGCAUGACAGAACGGCGCCGCGUGAGUGAUGAAGGUCUUCGGAUCGUAAAACUCUGUUAUUAGGGAAAAACAGAUGUGUAAGGAACUGUGCACGGCGUGACGGUACCGAGUCAGAAAGCCACGGCUAACUACGUG
rnacentral:rRNA from 1 species